ACCGCCCCGAAACCCCCAAACGUCCCCCCCUCCCCGAUUCUUAAAUUCGAAUUAUCCCCCGUCGGCUGCGGAUCCACGCCUCCAUGUGGAUCGCUAGCCCCACACCCCUCUUCCUUCCCUGAGACCAAGAAGAAUCCGAAGCCGAAGAGAUCAGAGAAGAAGAAGGAAGAAGAAUCCGAAGCUAGUUCCGGUCGCGAUGCCGGAGGCGAGGAACUGGCCUGUGCGGGGAGGAGGGGCGGCAGCGGGGGGGAUCGGUGGUGGCUUCUUUAUCCGGAGGGGAGCGUCGCCGGUGACAGAGGCAGGGCCGAGGCGGGUCCCGAGCCGGCGGUUCGCGGAUGGAAGAGAACAUCCCACCGUGGGCCGUGACUCGGAGGAGGAAGAGUCCCUGCCGACAUGGUACCCUCGGACGCCUCUUCGGGACAUCACCCUCAUCGUCAACGCUUUGGAGAGGAGAGGAGCCGUUUGCGAGCAGGCUCGGGGCUCAGCAGAAUGCUCAGCAGAGGGACGUUGAUCCUGAAGCAACUCCCCAACGACAAUAUCCACAAUCCCUUGCUGCAGGAGCCAAGUGUUCUGAACGGACUCGACAUGAACCAAGUGUUUCUGAACAGACUCCAGUCAACCAAUUCCUCCCGUCGAUAUUUCUGAUACUCCUCAAUUCCGACGUUCACAAGUUUUUACCUCUGCUUCUCCAAUUGAGCAUCCACUGCAGGCAUCUUCCUCUUCCAGUUCACUUCCUCCUGCUGAGCACUCACGACAGACCACAUCUGUUUCCAGCAAUCUGGCAACCUGAUGAUUCGAAGCCUACCUGAGUAUGAGAUGAAGCCAUCAUGCUCAAUUGAACGUCCACUGCAGACAUGUUCUUCUUCCCACCACCCAGACCAUACGUUGUUCUACCGAUCUAGCACCUGAUGAUUUGAACCCUACUGAGCAGCAAAGAAGUUGUCGACCUCAAUUAAUGAUCCAGUGAAGACAUCCUCCUCUCCCAGUUCACUUUCUUCAUCGGAGCUGCCACAGCAGACUGCAACUGUUUUUAACCAUCAGGCACCCAACAUUCAAACCAAUUGAAUAUGAGAAGAAGCUGUCGAGCUCUAUUGAUGAAUCGAAAGGGUUGUGAAAAAAAAUCUGAGAGAACCACGAAGGUGCCAGCCAAGAAGGACACUCAGAAGAGCACACUGAUGUCGCUGCGAUAAGGUGAAACAAUUCGUUUCACGGAUUGAAGUGAGAAAAAUUUUGGAGGAGAUUCAUCAUUCUGAUGAUAUUUUUCCUGCCCCGUCUGCCCCGUCUGCUGCUAAGUCAGUAAUUUUGCUGCCUUCUUAAUUUCCUUGGCGCCCUGCCAGCUUAUAGCUCAAUUUGGACUGAGGAUUCUGUUGCUGUUCUUCCUCUUUCAUCCAAGUUUCUGCUGGGCCUUUGAUUCAGGUGUCUGUUCCGACUCUGUACAUGUAGAGCUGUUCCCUAAUUUGCUGCUAGAGUAGCAUCUCGUCCAUUUCUGAUGUGUUUUUUGCUUUAUUUUGGGCUUCUGCUGGACCUAGGUUCAGGUGUGCGUUUGUUCUGGACCUCUGUACAUGUAAGGUAGUUCCCUGGUUUGCUACUAGAGAAGGACCUCCCUCCAGUAUCUGCUGUGGUCACUCUUUGUUUUGGGUUUGUGCUGCUGAUGUAGUAGGGGUUUAGGUACCGUGUCUCACAUCUUGUACAUUUGGGGCCUUUUUGGUUUUGUUACAUGUGAAGCCUUUCAUAAUCUGAACAUUGUAUCUUUCCCUAUGGCUAUAAAAAGAAAAAAACAAUGCUUUUUGAGA